CCUACGGGAGGCAGCAGUGGGGAAUAUUGGACAAUGGGCGAAACCUGAUCCAGCCAUGCCGCGUGUGUGAAGAGGUCUUCGGAUUGUAAGCACUUUAAGUUGGGAGGCGUUACCGACAGAAUAAGCACCGGCUAACUCUGUGCCAGCAGCCGCGGUAAUACAGAGGGUGCAAGCGUUAAUCGGAAUUACUGGGCGUAAAGCGCGCGUAGGUGGUUUGUUAAGUUGAAUGUGGAAUCCCCGGGCUCAACCUGGGAACUGCAUCCAAAACUGGCAAGCUAGAGUAUGGUAGAGGGUGGUGGAAUUUCCUGUGUAGCGGUGAAAUGCGUAGAUAUAGGAAGGAACACCAGUGGCGAAGGCGACCACCUGGACUGAACUGACACUGAGGUGCGAAAGCGUGGGGAGCAAACAGGAUUAGAUACCCCUGUAGUC
rnacentral:rRNA from 1 species